rnacentral:rRNA from 1 species
GACGAACGCUGGCGGCGUGCUUAACACAUGCAAGUCGAACGGAAAGGCCCUGCUUUUGUGGGGUGCUCGAGUGGCGAACGGGUGAGUAACACGUGAGUAACCUGCCCUUAACUUUGGGAUAACUUCAGGAAACUGGGGCUAAUACCGGAUAGGAGCUCCUGCUGCAUGGUGGGGGUUGGAAAGUUUCGGCGGUUGGGGAUGGACUCGCGGCUUAUCAGCUUGUUGGUGGGGUAGUGGCUUACCAAGGCUUUGACGGGUAGCCGGCCUGAGAGGGUGACCGGCCAAAUUGGGACUGAGAUACGGCCCAGACUCCUACGGGAGGCAGCAGUGGGGAAUAUUGCACAAUGGGCGGAAGCCUGAUGCAGCAACGCCGCGUGCGGGAUGACGGCCUUCGGGUUGUAAACCGCUUUCGCCUGUGACGAAGCGUGAGUGACGGUAAUGGGUAAAGAAGCACCGGCUAACUACGUG